AUUUUGUCACUGACAAAUAAGUUUUCUGAAAGACAAACAAAUUUGCAUUAAGGAUAGACUCAAAUACUUUGCCAAACUGCAGACUUUACCAAAUUGAUAAAUGAACACUACACAGAAAUCCAGACGAGCUACACUCGCAAUGCCAUGUGAAAUGCCAGCAUUAUUAAACAGAGAAUUGAGUAAAGCGUGAGUGCAUGUACACAUAUCGAACUAGAUUUCCCUAUGGACAUAAUAUUGCCGGUAGAUGUGUUUUAUCCCCGAUAUCAGCUGUUGAAUGUAAUAGCGGACUUCGGGGUCAAUCAGAGUCCCGCGAGCUUUCAGGAUGUCACCAAGUGUCUGGGCAGGGAGAAACAGGGGCAGCCUGAUCCAUCACAAAGUCUUUGCCUUAGUAAGACGUCUAUAAAAGUCAGGGACUCACCUGCCUACUGCACAACUCCAUGAAAAUAUACAUGAACAGAUCGUCUUCAAAAGAAUGGGAGAAGCCCACAACGUUCUUGUGCCGUGGUUUUUUUCAAAAUUUCCACUUCUUGACACACCUGAGUGAAAUAUCAAACACACCAUCUCAUCAAGUACUGUAACAGGGAAAUGCAGAUAAACUGCAAAGAGGGAUGACAUUAAGCACAAUCCAUACCACAUACCUCCUCCAGUCCCCAGGAAUGUGGAGGUAUGACCAUCACAGCAAAGGUGUCACCACUUUCAAGGUCGGUCAUCUUGUAGCACUUGCCACAAGCACCCUAAAGAACAUGUCAAUAAAGGGCAUUUCUGACUGACCCUGUUCAAGCAUCUCCUCUCCGCAGAAAAAGAUCAACUGUAAUCACUUUCACCAACAACUUUGUGGUGCACACCUGUCCCAAAAGCGGCCAAGACAGCUGGGCAAUUUGAACUUGCUAGAUGGAUUACAUCACCACAUUGAAAAUUCCAUGGACGGAAAAAGAGGUGAACUUGCUAAGACAUUGCAACAAAACACGGAUAAAAACUUUCAUUACAAUCAACUUCAUUGAAGAAAAAAAACCCGUCUCCGUUUUGUACACCAAACAUUCAGUUUCGGUAAUGCAGUAACACAUGCUCAGGAAUAAAGACUUUUAUGUAGUGUGCAGUGACUAUCACAUCAUAUGUUACUGCGGCUCUUUAGGCACUCAGCUAUCGGUCUCACUUUGUCAUACAGAACAGGGAUUCAUUUCCUGGUGAAAAACUUCCUAUGUGGUAUGUGAUACCUCAGCUCCAAGAUGUGGAGCAGUUAUCUAUUACACCGUAAGGCUGGAUAUUUUUACAAAUAAAGGCAGCAAUGGUGUCGGUUAUUGCCUUAGAACGAGCUGUUAGCUGGCAGGGUGUGAAAAUUAGGGCGUUUAUUUUUUUUUAAAGAGUUUUGUGUUAUUUGAAAGCAUUGUGAAAUGUAAAAAAAAAAACAGUAAUGAUAUGAUGAAAAUGGGAAUACUGACGUUGACAAUGCCAAUAUAAUAUUUUGGUAUGUUAAGGCAUGUUUGUUCUCUGCUUUAAAGAAAGGGGGAUGUGUUGAUAUGUAGUGCAGUACCUUUGGUGACCAGCAGAGAGACCUGGAGGGUUGGGAGGAGGUAAAGACAAGGGCUCGCGCGACGUGGCCGAGGGACUUGAGGAGAAUUAUACACUGACAGCAGUGGAGAUGAGAGCGCACUUGAAAUUAUCAGGUAAGAGAGGGUUAAUCGAGCAAAAUGUACAAUUAUUGGUCAGAAAAUGUCGGUCAAAUUUCUAAAUAAUUAUGGCGUACGAAUAAUGAUAUAUCCGUAAAUCGUAUUUUACCGAUUUAAAGAUGUUCAUUAUUCAUUGUAUUGUCACGCCCCCCUCGGGAGAAUGCAGCGGCAGCAGCCACACCUGAGUUACGUCAACUCCCUGUUUAGUUCUGCUUGGCGCUGCAUUAUAUGCAAGGUACUGUUGAGGGUUUUCAUAAGAAGUACAGGGCGGUCUUCCUCCUGUCUACCCCGAUCCGGUCCAUCUGCCUGCUUUGCUGCCAUCCCAUCCCAUCCCAUCCUGAUCCACCCGGACCUCUCCCUUGUACUUGUCCUGCGUCUCGCAUGCCACCUGUAGAACUGGCUUUUGGACUCGAUUGUACUUGCUGAUUCCAGUCCUGUUUGCGUGUUCCCAACAAUAAACCCCGUACAGUACGUUGCCUUCUGUGUCUCUACCAUCCUCCGGGGUUGCAUGUUGUGCAAUACUGUAGUAGCUUGGAUUCAACCAUUAGAUGGCAGUAGUAGCAUAUAGUUGGAGGGAAGUAGAAGAAGGCAAGAGAGGGAAGUUGAGUGUUUGUGCGUUGUUCCCGGAGCUGAUAAGUUAAUAAAUAUUGAACCUCUUGCCAUCCCCAAAUGUGUCUCGGCUGACUCUCAAUAUAUCAAAAGUACAUACCGUCUAUUUAUUUAUGUCUGCCCUUCAAACCGCUAGAUUCCUUCACUAAGCAGGAAGUUUGUCACGACAGCUGACACCAAAUCUCCUGCUGAGCUGGUUCAGACAGAACUAUCCUCAAUUCACCACGAGGGGGCGCCAACGCAGCAGCUUAGUUCUAUUGUUUCGCUUUUUCAAAGACAGUUUUUCUCUUCACAAAAGGACAACUUAACUGAAUAAUGCACUUUCAUAGUAAUUGUUUUUAAUCCGUGUUAAUGUUCUGAACAAUGACUACUAAAGGUUCUGUAAGGUUGUCCCACAUACUAUGGAUUUUAAGUUUUUUAUCAAGGUGUUAAAACGUACCAUCUAUUUUCUGCUGAAAGUUGCCAGUCCUGUGUUUUAUGUCUAGCAAUUUGUACAGUUUCUUCAGUAUGGCACAUAAACACAUGCCAUCAUCUACAGUAUGAGAAUCUCCUCCAGAACUCUGCAUUUCCUCAAGAUUUUUUUGUAAUAUUACAUAGGUGCAUCUCAUGAACCUUAAUUUGCCAAGCAUGUAUUGACUGGGCACAGUACAGUGGUGCAAUUUCUGACAAUGAAAGAACAUCAUGGACCCCUACUCCCCAUUCCUUAACCCGAUCGAGGGGCUCUGCUCAGCAUGGAGUUAGAAGGCUUACGAUCGCUAGCCACAUGCUCAGAUGGCCCUGCUGUCUGACAUGAAUGCAGCAUGUGAGGACAUUACAGCAGAUGCCUGCAGAGGCAGGUAAGACAUUAGAAAAGAUUCCUUUUUUUCUUAUAUUUUAUUCUUUCUGUUUUUUCUUAUGUACAAAUACAUAAGUGCACAUUAGGAUGCUUUUUCACUAUUACGUAAGUUCCCAUGUGAACAGCCAAUCAGAUCAGCCUGAUGUGUGUCUUGUUCCUCUCUGUUUCCUGCCCUUUCAUCCCGACCACGACCAUGAUCUCUCACUUAGCAGCAGAGCAGUUUAUUCUAAACAGUGGAACCGCAAAGAUGUUCAGACUCUUUGGUCUUCUCAUUUUCAUUAGUAGGGUUCUAUACUAUUAAAUCAUAUUUUGGGGGGAUUUUUAUAUAUCCUGUACGAUGUGAUUAGUGUAAUAAGUAUUUGGCCAUUUAAUCUUCAUCAUAUGUAAUAGGUAUUCUGAUUAUUAUUAUGAUAUUUAUUUAUUUGUUUGUUUGUUUAUUCAUUUGUGUUUCUCUCUUUUUCCAGACACUUCACUGGCUGUGGAUGUUGUUCAGCCCAGCUACCUGAUGAGGGUCCAGCAUGGAGACAGUGUGACCCUGACAUGCUUCCGUCCAGAAGAUAUUUCUUUUGCAGUUUGGUUUUAGCAAGCUGCUGGUCAGAAGCCCCAGCUCAUGGCGAAAGCACUUCUCUACGUACCUGGUGAAUUUUACAAGGAAUAUAAAAACAUAAAACGUUACUCCUUACUGAAUGCAGAGGGGAGUUUUAACCUCACUAUUUCUAACGUGGAGCCGUCAGAUUCUGCAGUGUAUUAUUGCGCUGCUCUGUUCUAUAAUGAAAUCGCAUUUGGAAAUGGAACCUUUGUCAUAAUCACAGAUAAAUGAGAUUCCAACUAUUUUCAUAUUUGCUUUAUUAAAGUGUCAAUAAUAUUGUCCUUUGACAAACAUUUUUGACAGUUGAGCUCUGUGUCAAUAUAAAAUUAACCAACAUAGUUGAUGUAGAUUGCGAGCAUUGGUCCUUGAAUGUUUUUCUAUAUACAGCAUUAAACAAAAACAUUUAUAAAAGCUUUCCAAUUAGAAUUAUAAACUUUUUAUUAUUAUUACACGCAUAAAUAGCUGAAAUAUGUAAAAAUAAGUAUACAAGAAUACAAAUUAAUAGGAGGCAUUAAGUAUCAUCUUACUUGUGUGAAGUGGAUUUAGUUAUGUGUAUACAGUUAUGUGUUGGACCCCUCCUGAUGUUACAUUUAUACAUGAACAUGCACUGCAUCACAUCAUUAUACAGUUUGUUACAUUUAUACAUGAACAUGCGCUGCAUCACAUUAUUUCACAGUUUGUUACAUUUUGCUUGCUGUCAGAAAUCUUCAGCCAUAUGGAAUCUUCAGAUUUGGAAAAAUGUUACACAUUGCAGCCUCUUUCAAAUAAAUUAAAGGAAAAUGUUUACAUUUCAGUUUUGAGUUGAUAUAUAUAUUACUGCGUAAAAGUCUUAGGCGACAAAGAAAAUAUAUUCUUAAAAUUUUUUAACUCAACAGUCAUUGUAUAUUGUCUCAGAAAGACAUGCUAUAAUAUAAGAGUCGGAUAUGCACCAUUCAGAACUGGUUUGAGAAUGGACCUUAAAUUUCAAUUAAUUUUGUUCAUCUGAAAUAAAGUUGAAUCACUGUUGAAAACAGGAUGCAGAAUUACAAUUCAUUUUUGAAUUUAAGGAAGCAGAAUGAAUACGUAUUUGAAUUCAAAUAAAUUCAUAUACAUACAGUACAUAUAGCUACAAUAUAGCUUUUAGCUAUACAGCCAAAUAUUUAAAUAUGAAUUACACAUAAGCACAUUAACAUUGUUGUGUAUCACUAUUAUAAUUUUAUUCAGAAUGAAAUAAUGCAACAUUUGAAGUGUCACCUAAAACAAUAAUUAUACUGUCAUUUUGUGCACCAUGGUGGAUCUGCUCAUAGGAAGAGCUGAGUGUCUCUCCUUAAAAGUCAGUGUUGGCUGCAGUGACUGCAGUUUCUAACCUAAGAAACGUCCCAAACACUUUUCCUGCAUCAAAAGUCAAACUAGUGCCUAUUCCUGCCAUGAAAGCUUCACAUAAUGUCACCGAUACCUGAGCCAACCAUGUUUAUCAGAGGAUGCCAACCCUUUGGCUGCAGCUUUCUCUGCACAGGCUGAGAGAGUUUUCAGUGUAGCAGGAAAAGAUUUCAGGCCAGACGAUUGCAGAUUAAAUCAUGAAACCUUUGAAGAUAUUAUGCUAAUCAACUGUAAUAUAAUAAUAAAUGUAAUCAUGUUUAUUUGAAUAAAGCAUAAUUGCAUUUGCCAUGAUGUCUUGCUUUUUGCUGUAGUGCUAUGGUAGAAAGGAAAAACUUUCCUUUCAACACACAAGAAAAUAAAUAGUAGAAACCGCAUGAAACCAAGUAAUUCCUUUUGCGGUGCACACUUCUUAUUUAAUGUUUAAAAAAUAGACAAACAAAAUGGUCAACAUAAGCCAGAGGGAUAUUGAUAGUCAUGAAAAUAUAAAAUACACUUUACACACUUCAUUUCUUUACAUUGAAAUUAAUUAAAUUCAUCUACCUUCAUGCACUAACAUGAAACAUAUGAUUAUACAAUUAUAAUGUUUGUUCUUAUCAUAUAAUGUUUGUUAUUGUCAUGCCCAUGCAGGCGGAACCCACCGAAUAGCCCGUCUCGAUCACGCCCACAUGGGCGGGACCAGCCAGGUGCUCCGUAGAACGCUUAAUGACGGAAUGGAUUUAAGCACUGAGCUCCAUCAGGACAUUGCGAAGUAUUGAGCCAUGCUAUUGAGCCAUACCGAGCAAUCUAUUGUCUAUCGUCUACCCGUUGCUUCCUACCUGUUCCGUCCGCCCAGUGUACUUACCUUGUCUGUUCCUCUUCCUCUUCCCAGACCCGUUCCCGAACCUGAACCUCUUGCCCCGCUGAGACCGGCUUCUCCUGGUACUCUUUCCCUGUGUUGUCGUGUCCCGUGUUUGUUCCUCUUUCGGCUUCGGACACAUGCUUCUGCCCCUCGACCAUUCUCCUCGCUUAGCCCCUUUCAUUGCUACGUACUAGUGCUGCCAAUAAAACUUCUGGCUGCGUGCAAAUCUAGAUCUCCGUUCCACUUCUUGGGCCAGUGUUACAGUUAUAAUAUAAUCUUUGUUAUCAUAUAAUGUUAUCAAUGUAUAUUAAAGCUGUUAAGGUAUGUUAGGAUAUUAAGGUAUACGAAUUACAUGGUGAUUAUGAAUGUUAUAUGAAUGCAUUGUAAAUGUAUAAUGUAGGUGCAGUUAAUGUAAAGUGUUACUGAAUAUAUACUAAUAAAUAGUUAUACAACAAAAAGAGACAAGAAUGUCAACUAUUCUCCAAGAAGUUACUUAUUUUAUGGAUGGAUAGAACAACAUGACAUCCAUUCCAAAAUAUUUCUAAAAUCGGCAAGAAAUAUUUUUCAGGAUCUGUGUUUUCCAUUGUGACUCUCAAAGCGCUGUCAUCAUCAACAUUUUGCUUUUCAGGUAAAGACUCCAACAGCAAGACUGUGGUACAGCAGCCUGUGUCUGACACUGUGUCUGACACAGACUCUGUGAGUCUGCAGUGUACGAUAGAGACUGGGAGCUGUGCAGGAGAACACAGUGUUUACUGGUUCAGACAUUGUUAGAGUGUAUCUGUGUAUUUUAUCAUAUUAUUAUCCUCCUAUAUGUGUACGUGCAACCCUUAACAACUAACCCAUGGCCCAGAAAGGGUUGCAGACAAGAUGUCCUCACAGGGGCCUACCAGAUUGUGACGCAGGAAUAAGAGACCUUGAGAAAGGAAACAGAUUCUGUCAACAUAGCAGGGGGCCCACCUUGAGAUAUGUAAUGCUUUGUAUUAACCCUGUUUCACGGAGGCCUCACACAGCAUUGACUAGUUUAAAGACAAGACCCAUGUAACCCCUCCCCUACCCUAUAAAUAAAGAAGCCAAGGGACUGUCCGGUGUGACACUCAACAGAGGCGCAGAUACUGUCUGUUGCACCUGAAGUGGGCACCCUUGCGCAAGUAAAACAGAAA